rnacentral:ncRNA from 1 species
GCAUAUAGGAAGGCGGGGGGGGGCUUAAACUUUCUGUUCCAUUAAUUAUCUUCUUAAAAUAAAGUUUGAUUCUUUCUUUUUGAUUUAGAUUUUGAAUUUUAUUAUAUGUAUGGUUUUCCUAAAUUUUCUAAAUGAUUUUUAUUUCAGUAUAUAACUUUGGUUUUUAUUGGGAGAUAAAACCAGGAUUUUAAUUUAUAGCUGACAAAAAUUGUGCCAGCCGUCGCGGUUAUACAAUUAGUUAAAUUAAAUCUUUUUGGUUAAAUAUUUACUUUAUUAUUUUAUAAUUAAAAUUUAUAUUUUUAGGUGAAAUUUUUUUAUAAUAAUUAUUUAUUGGUUGAGGAAUAAUAUGUGAAAAUCAUUAAAAAACUAGGAUUAGAUACCCUAUUAUAUUGAUAGUAAAUUAACCUUAAUAUUAAUAGUUAUGAUCUUUAAAUUAGAAGAAUUUGGCGGUUAUUUAAUCUUUCUAGAGGAACCUGUUCUGUAAUUGAUAAUCCACGAUUGAUUUCACUUUAAUUUCGCUUAUAUAUCGCUGUCAUCGAAUGUUUUAAAAGAAUAAUUUUCUUUAAUUUUUAUGAGUAUAAUGUUAGGUCAAGAUGUAGCUGUAUUAAAGAAGAAAUGGGUUACAAUAAUUUUAUUUAUGGAGAAGUAUUUGGAAUUUUACUUUGAAAUUGGAUUUAGGUGUAAUUUUUACAAAAUAGUAAUUUUGAUUUUAGUUCUAAAUAAUGUACACAUCGCCCGUCACUCCCAUUAUGAGUUGGGAUAAGUCGUAACAAAGUAGGCCUACCGGAAGGUGGGCCUGGUCAGUU